UCUUUGAUUUAUUUGCUGCAUAGUCUUUCAGUGAUAUGAGCAGUUGCAUGAAUGGGAUAAAAUAAUGCUGGGCUAUUGCAAAGGGAAGUAACUCCUUUAUCUCUGCUGCAUGGUGUUGAUACUG
ensembl:snoRNA